CUGCUAUCGGGAUGAAGACUAAGCCAUGCGAGUUGCGCGCUUCCUAGCCAUGUGGAGACGCAGCAUACGGCUCAGUAACACGUAGUCAAUCUGCCCUUGGGACGAGAAUAACCCUGGGAAACUGGGGCUAAUCCUCGAUAGGCGCAGUGGCCUGGAACGGUAUUGCACUGAAAAGGUUCUGAGAACAUGCUCUUGGAAUUGCCCAAGGAUGAGACUGCGACCGAUCAGGUUGUUGGUAGGGUAAUGGCCUACCAAGCCUAUAACCGGUACGGGCCCUGAGAGGGGGAGCCCGGAGAUGGGAACUGAGACAAGGUCCCAGGUCCUACGGGGCGCAGCAGGCGCGAAAACUCCACAAUGCGCGAAUGCGUGAUGGGGUUAACCCGAGUGCCGUCCGAUGAGGAUGGCUUUUCUUCAGUCUAAGGAUCUGGAGGAAUAAAGGGGGGGCAAGACUGGUGUCAGCCGCCGCGGUAAUACCAGCCCCCUGAGUGGUAGGGACGAUUAUUUGGCCUAAAGCGUCCGUAGCUGGCUUGGUAAGUCUUUCGUAAAAUCCGACGAUUCAACCGUUGGGUCGCGGAAGAUACUGCUAGGCUUGAGGACGGGAGAGGUCGACGGUAGUCCCAGGGUAGGGGUGAAAUCCUAUAAUCCUGGGAGGACCACCAGUGGCGAAGGCGGUCGACUAGAACGUGCCUGACGGUGAUGGACGAAAGCUGGGGGAGCGAACCGGAUUAGACACCCGGGUAGUCCCAGCUGUAAACGAUGCGAGCUAGGUGUUGGAGCAACUACGGGUUGCUCCAGUGCCGCAGAGAAGUUGUUAAGCUCGCCGCCUGGGAAGUACGGCCGCAAGGCUGAAACUUAAAGGAAUUGGCGGGGGAGCACCACAAGGGGUGAAGCCUGCGGUUCAAUU
rnacentral:rRNA from 1 species